AUCAUCUUUUAGGGUCUGUUUGGUUCGAGUUAUGUAAUAUUACAAACUAUUUUGAUAUAUCCAGGCAUUUUAGAUUUUGGCGUGAGAUUACUACUAAUGCUGUAUUAGAGCGUUUGGUUUAAUACAGUAAUAUAAUACUAGAUUACAGUAUUUAUAGCAUUAAUAUGUUUGGUUCAGUUUAUAAAAUUUAGUAAUCCUGACAUAAAAAUAUAGUUUUUUUCAAAAUUGUCCUUGUUGUGGUCAUUUGAAUAUUAUUUUUUACGGAAAUGACGAAUAAAGGGAAGGAGAUCGUGAUGAUUACUUGGGAGGACGACGCAAUAGAAGAUGAUAGGUAUUCAUGAGAGAGAGAGAGAGAGAGAGAGAGAGAGAGAGAGGGCCCGGGGAAGGCGAGAGAGAGAUGAAAAUAAUACUGUUAAUUAGAUUUUGGAUUGUUGGAGGGUAAAAUUGUCAUUUUACAUAAUAUGUAGUAUUAACGGGUUUCAGUAAUGCAAGAUACACGACCCCCCUCCCGUUAAUAUUUUCGAUGUAAUUCUACUCGAUUUGUAAUGCUACAUUAACGGCUAGAUUACAUAGCGGAUUAACCAAAUACAGUUAUCUUGACAGGAUUGCCUGUAAUCCUGCCAGGAUAACUCGAACCAAACGCACCCUUAUAUUUUUGUGUCAAAUUAUGCAUU
rnacentral:lncRNA from 1 species